AGAGUUUGAUCCUGGCUCAGGACGAACGCUGGCGGCGCGUCUUAAGCAUGCAAGUCGGGCGGCAAGAUGGUGCUUGCACCAUCCUAGAGCGGCGGACUGGUGAGUAACACGUAGGUGACGUACCCUUCAGACGGGGAUAGCCUGCAGAAAUGCAGGGUAAUACCGGAUACGGCCGGCGGCUUUGGUGGCCGCCGGGGAAAGGAGCUUCGGCUCCGCUGAGGGAUCGGCCUGCGGCCCAUCAGCUAGUAGGUGAGGUAAAGGCCCACCUAGGCAAUGACGGGUACCCGGACUGAGAGGUUGAUCGGGCACAUUGGGACUGAGAUACGGCCCAGACUCCUACGGGAGGCAGCAGCUAAGAAUAUUCCGCAAUGCGCGAAAGCGUGACGGAGCGACGCCGCGUGGACGAUGAAGGCCGGAAGGUUGUAAAGUCCUUUUGUGACUGAGGAAUAAGGGGCGGAGGAAAUGCCGGCCCGGUGACUGUAGGUCAUGAAUAAGCACCGGCUAAUUACGUGCCAGCAGCCGCGGUAACACGUAAGGUGCGAGCGUUGUUCGGAUUAUUGGGCGUAAAGGGCAUGUAGGCGGUCCAGUAAGUCGGGCGUGAAAUGCCGGGGCUCAACCCCGGAACUGCGCCCGAUACUGCAGGACUUGAGUCAGCGAGGCGCAGCCGGAAUUCCUGGUGUAGGGGUGAAAUCUGUAGAUAUCAGGAAGAACACCGGUGGCGAAGGCAGGCUGCGAGCGCAUGACUGACGCUGAGGUGCGAAGGUGCGGGGAGCGAACAGGAUUAGAUACCCUGGUAGUCCGCACAGUAAACGAUGUGCACUUGGUGUCCGGCCAGAAGGCUGGGUGCCGAAGCAAACGCGAUAAGUGCACCGCCUGGGGAGUAUGCCCGCAAGGGUGAAACUCAAAGGAAUUGACGGGGGCCCGCACAAGCGGUGGAGCAUGUGGUUUAAUUCGAUGGUACGCGAGGAACCUUACCUGGGUUUGACAUACAGGGGAAUCAUUUGGAGACAAGUGAGCCGGCUUGCCGGUCCCUGAACAGGUGCUGCAUGGCUGUCGCCAGCUCGUGCUGUGAGGUGUUGGGUUAAGUCCCGCAACGAGCGCAACCCCUACUGCCAGUUGCCAUCGGGUUAUGCCGGGCACUCUGGCGGAACUGCCCCCGACAAGGGGGAGGAAGGCGGGGAUGACGUCAAGUCAUCAUGGCCCUUAUGUCCAGGGCUACACACGUGCUACAAUGGUGAGUACAGAGCGGAGCGAGACCGUGAGGUGGAGCAGAGCGCAAAAAGCUUGCCUCAGUCCGGAUAGGAGUCUGAAACCCGACUCCUUGAAGUUGGAAUCGCUAGUAAUCGCACAUCAGCACGGUGCGGUGAAUACGUUCCCGGGCCUUGUACACACCGCCCGUCACACCAUCCGAGUGGGGGGUACCCGAAGUCGUGAGUCUAACCGCAAGGGGGACCAUGCCGAAGGUACGUUCCGUGAGGGGGGUGAAGUCGUAACAAGGUAGUCGUACCGGAAGGUGCGGCUGGAUCACCUCCUU
rnacentral:rRNA from 1 species